AAAAAAAAAAAAAAAAAAAAAAUACUGAUAUGCGUUUAAUAGUUGCUUUGUUAUCUGUCCUUAUUCUUUUUU
rnacentral:ribozyme from 1 species